rnacentral:rRNA from 1 species
GGAUUAGAUACCCUGGUAGUCCACGCCCUAAACGAUGGAUACUAGAUGUUGGAGGUAUAGACCCCUUCAGUGUCGAAGUUAACGCGAUAAGUAUCCCGCCUGGGGAGUACGGCCGCAAGGCUAAAACUCAAAGGAAUUGACGGGGACCCGCACAAGCAGCGGAGCGUGUGGUUUAAUUCGAUGCAAAGCGAAAAACCUUACCUAGGCUUGACAUGUUUCUGAAAGCCCCCGAAACGGGGCCCUCCUUCGGGACAGAAUCACAGAUGUUGCAUGGCUGUCGUCAGCUCGUGUUG